rnacentral:lncRNA from 1 species
CCUACAUAUUCAUCAAGUUCCUAAUCGAUCACAAAACAAAUUAUAUAUGUACCAAACAUGGUACACAACUUGAGGGGGAGUAUUAGAAUCCUUGUGAAUAUUCUAGAAUAUAUGCAAGUAUAGUAGGUAGCUUAAUUUACUCCUAUUGUAAUUAGGUAUUUAUUUCCUAUCCUUUUAGGUCAUAUAAACAUAGUUAUUAAAAUCCCAAUGGCUUGAGGACAAUCAAGUUGAGUGCUCUUUAGUUUCUCUUCCACUUCAAAUGUUGAAGUGUGUGACCAUCUCAUCUAAAAACUAAAGUUACAACUUAGGUUGUUAGAGAGAACACACUUUGAUUUACUAUAUUAUAUUCUUACCACGCUAGGUCAAGAUGAACUCUAUGAGCUAGUUCAUAAUCAAUGAGGCUUGUUUGCUCCAUGAUCAAGUCCAUUUGUGCUACCUUUCCUAAGAUAUCAUUUUUCUUUCUUUCUAGGCUCCCAUGACUGGUAGCAUUCCAUUCCUUGAGCUUUCCUUUCAGAAAUUUCAAUUGUGUGGCUAGUAUGAAGUCAGAUCUGCCUAAUACUCAGAGAAUUCCACCAUUCCCUAAUCACUCCUUGAACACUGUUGUCUAGAGCCAUCAAUUCUCGAAUUUGAAAUAGGAUUUACAAUGGUUCCAAUCUACAAACUGUAGAAUGAAGGGUGAACUAUCAGUGAGUCCUGGGCAAAGUGGAUUGCCUGAUUUGCAUGAAAGUCUCAUCCCAUUCUGUAGAGAAUAGAAACCUGUCUAUCUUUAGGGUCUUCCUUUGAUUGUUCCCUCUGUUCCAGGUGAAGAUCCACCAAAUAAAGGUGGAUCUAUUAGCCCCAUGUCCUGGAUGAAGUCUGAGAAAUCAUUCAUAGCUUUGGUGAAAAUAGGAUUGUUGCAUCUUUCAUGUAUGAACCUUGUUGUGUUGAAAUCUCCACACACCACCCAGGGACCCUCACAAAUACCCCUACGAGCAACAAACUCCCCCAAGAGCGCUCUCCUCUCCAACCUGUUAUGAGGGCCAUAUACUCCUGAUAUGUACCAAGAGAUAUUGUUGCUUAAAUCUGUCAUCUGACUAGUAAUGGAGUAAGCACUUGGGUUGACUAGCUCCCCCUAGUAACUUCUUUUAUUCCACAUAAUCACUAUCCCCCUUCUAGUUCCAGUUACUUCCUGUAAACAAAAUCUACCCUUCUACUUCCCCAUAUUUGACUGAAGAAACUAAUGGCAUCCCCUUCUAGCUUUGUUUCUUGUAAAACAACCACCUCUGCCUACCAUUUUAACAACAGCAGCUUCAUUACCUCCCUUUUGUUCUUAUUGUUCAGUCCCCUCACAUUCCAGGAUAGAAUUUUUAGCUUCAUUGAUCACCCAUUUUUAAAAGCCUUGCCCUAGUUCUUUGUUCACCAUCCUUGUAUCUAAUAUUACUUAUCGAUCCCUGAACCUCCUUUGAUUCCCUGUGAGUGUAGUCUUGAUGUUUGAACUGUUGAGUUCACCUUUGGUCCCAUGUCUCCUUUUGUCAAUUUUCAUAAAAAGAGAUGGAACAUCCCAUUCACACCCUUGACAGUGAGCACCAAAUUUCUUACUCAUUUUUAAUACAUUCUGGUGGACCCAAAAUGUAACUUCAGUUUCUGCAUUCUGUUCUCUCACCUUCAAUUGUGACUUCUUACUGUUGCACAUUGUAAUCAUUGCCCCCUAGAAUCAUUGCAUGCAUGCUCUGAUUUUGAUCUUCAUCCCCUGUUUCUGCUUCUUGAGGCUCUAACUCGAAUUCCUCCUGUCCUUGUUCUUCCAAUUGAUCCUCCAGGUCUGCUGACAUAAUUGGUGUGACACUGAUAAUAUUCUCUAGCAAUGGGGAGAUAGAGCCCUCUUCUGCGAUCGGGUCUAAGAUCUGUAUGUGUUCCCCAGUGCAAAUUCUUGGCUACAAUAUAACCUGAAGAAGAAGGUCUGAUUCUUGCUUCGAUGGCUCUUUUGACAAAUUUUUGCACCGAUUUCCCCUCAAACAGACUGGUGUUUAAUUUUUGCUCCUACUGCUCAUUUAGGAAAAUUUGUGUAUUAAGGUACCCUUAUCUUUCAAGACUUCAUUCUCUAGGGCAUAAGUUUAGUGUUUUUUACUAAUGAUGUCUCCCCACGUGCCCCAUGUUAAAUUUUUGAAUUUGAAAACCUCCCUACUUAAAUCUAGGUCUUCUAACUCAUCGUACCCUAGACCCAGGUCUUUCCCCAAAAAGGGUGAUUUUCCUCUCUCCUCGGUCUCCUAUUCAUUCUCCUUUCUUCUAUGUCUGGUGGAGCUAUUCCCAGACAGCCUGAGAGCUGAGUGAGGACCUUAUUUGACAUGCUUUUUUCCUUCCAAAGCGAAAUAAUCACUCCUGUAGCUUAUUAAUCCAGUCUCUGCAUUUGUUGUCGAACUCGUUCAUCAUUUCUUUGGUCCACAAGUGUAAAGGAAGACCCAACACUCAUAUCCAAGUGCUGGAAAACUGGCGCAUCUUUGGAACACAAUCGGAUGAGGGAGACCACCAAGAUAAGUGCAGCUUCUUUUGCUCCCAUUUCCAGUCACAGAUCAUAGUAUAUUCUGCCAAUAUCCUUGUUGGAAAAUCGAAGAGAAAUUGAUGGUCGCAAAGCUCAAAAACUCCGACAGAACUUCCCCAUUGGCAUGUGCCCACCUGCAAACAACAGUCUGAUUUGGGAUUUUUUCCCCGUCGAAAUGCCCCACCCAUCUUCUCAGGAUAUCUUUGUUGUAGAUUUCUGCUGCUCCGGUGGCUAUGAUGAUGUUGCCUUCACCAGAAUGAACUGCGAUUUUUCCAAACUGCUACUAUGGAGAUAAACCUGCCAAAGACAUUAAAUUUAUUUCCGCAAAGUAAAUGGCAUUGUGGUCCCUAAGUUUCCAUCUUCUGACUUCCUUCCCUUUAACUUCUGAGGCCUGAUGCAGUAAAUAACAGAUCCAAGAUCUGACUUUCCAGCUGAUUGUCAAGCUUCAAAGCACGUUGUUCCUCGAUUCCAUUCAGUCAAACCAUGUUACUGAAGGAGUAACAUAUUUGUGAUAUUGUAUGACUUCUCCCCAGCUCUAAAAUAGAUCUUGUGGUCCAAUUUCUUAAGCAAUCAAGGGGUGAUUGGAGAAAAAACACAGUUACGAAGGUUUCCGGCUGAAAGACUUAUCUUCUUCUAUUUCUUGUUCUUUUUCUUCUCCUCAUUUGUAUUAACCUUGAUAAACUUAGAGAAGAUUGAACGAGUUAGAAGAAUAACCAAUCAUAGGUUGAACCUUGAACAUGCGCAAUCUCAGGAUACCUCAUGCAAUGCUUUAUGAAGUAGUCAUACAGGGUAGUGAGAUUUCCAACGUUUAUUAGUCUUCAAUAGUUCAAUUAUAUAUUCCGGAAAUUAAAAAAACUAUGUCAAAACUAUCUCAGUACCAAAAACUGCUGUUUUAUAAAUAUUUUCUGGUGGACUACCAGAAGCAUUUGAGCAAAAGAAAAUCAUUACCCCAGUACCCCAAAUUUUAGCAUGAGACUGCACAUGCAUAAACUACCACAAGCACCUCCAACUAUUGGUCAUAAGUAUCUCCACUAUACUAAAUGAGAAGAUCUGAUCACAGAUGAUAAACCCCAAUGGUCAAGUGCUUAACUAGCUAGUACUUUGAAGAACCCCAGCGUUCCCAAUGUAUUAAAAACAUGAGGAAAAAGAUAAGUCAAGUUUUAAAACAUCUAACAAGAAAGAUGAGAGAACGAAAUCAAAUGAAUGUUAAACUAAGUCAAUAGAUGGCAAUCACAUUAAACAUCAUUGUAGAAACCACAAAAUAAAAGACAGAGAAGAAAGAGCAUAAGGAGAACUCAAUAUAACCAACUUGAGAGAGAGAGGACUCCAUAUAAUUGGAAAGGUUCUAACAUAUCAUUUUGUAUUUUCCCACCACGGUUAGACGCUAUUGUUAAGGUUUUUUAUUCUAAGUUACUUCUUCAAGGUACCAGUAAAAGAAAAGUUACUUCUGUAAGAUUCAAGGGUGCAAAGAGAAACCAAGUCCUACGUUAAGUGUUAACCCAGCUGUUAAUUUCCUAGACAUAUACAUGUCCAAUGGGUAGAACAUAGAUGUGGAUAUAUCAUUUGGAACCUUCAAAUACACAUCAGAGCUGCAUCAAAUUGAUCAUACCAGUUUAAAACAGGUGGAAACUCACGUCCACGUAACACGGGUAGGACGGGAGAAAUAACUAAAAGGAAACCCAGGGAAAAGGUAUGUUCCAAGUGUCGACAUAACUCACAUUGAAGUUUUUGGUCAAGAAUGGUAAAUAAUAUAUAUCAUAAAAUUGUGAAGCAGCUUAGUACGAUGGUGAAACUGGUGAAACAAUUGUAACCAGACCUUCUUGCAAUAUUUUCCAUUAUGCCCAUAAUGUCCGCAGAUAAAGCAUCGCCGUUUCUUCUUUUCAAGAGGACUACAACCUGCUGCUCCAUGGUUUUCUUCACCACAUAUUUGGCAUGCUUCCCAUAUGCUCCCUUUGAAGUCAGUGUUAUCAAAGGCGCGCUUAAGCCCUAAAGCGAGGCUCAAAACGUGUUGAGCGCUUCGCCUCGCUUUAUGUGCGCUUCAGUGUCGUCAUCAAAGUUUUAAGACAAACUUUUCCUUGUCAAUGAGCCUCUUAUGAAGAAGUGACACUAAACAAUUGAUAUUUCACUUUAUCAUAAAAAAAAUUCAAUUUCUUUGGUCAUAUAUUUGUCAUUCAUGUUUAUAAUUAUUAGUCUUGGACUAAACAUACACAUUUUAUUUUAUUUUCUCCCUUUGCGCCUUUUUCCAUUAAAGCCCACGCUUUAUUUGCGCUUUGCAAUAACUUAAAGGAAACCCAGGGAAAAGGUAUGUUCCAAGUGUCGACAUAACUCACAUUGAAGUUUUUGGUCGAGAAUGGUAAAUAAUAUAUAUCGUAAAAUUGUGAAGCAGCUUAGUACGA